GACGAACCGUGCGAACGUUGUUCGGAAUCACUGGGCUUAAAGGGCGCGUAGGCGGGGUCAUAAGUCUGUGGUGAAAUCCCCCGGCUCAACCGGGGAACUGCCGUGGAUACUGUGACUCUCGAGGGGUGUAGGGGCAUGCGGAACUUCCGGUGGAGCGGUGAAAUGCGUAGAUAUCGGAAGGAACGCCGGUGGCGAAAGCGGCGUGCUGGACACCUUCUGACGCUGAGGCGCGAAAGCCAGGGGAGCAAACGGG
rnacentral:rRNA from 1 species